rnacentral:rRNA from 1 species
UACGUAGGGUGCGAGCGUUAAUCGGAAUUACUGGGCGUAAAGCGUGCGCAGGCGGUGAUGUAAGACAGUUGUGAAAUCCCCGGGCUCAACCUGGGAAUUGCAUCUGUGACUGCAUCGCUAGAGUACGGUAGAGGGGGAUGGAAUUCCGCGUGUAGCAGUGAAAUGCGUAGAUAUGCGGAGGAACACCGAUGGCGAAGGCAAUCCCCUGGACCUGUACUGACGCUCAUGCACGAAAGCGUGGGGAGCAACAGG